rnacentral:rRNA from 1 species
UCUUGGUCCAAUAGAGGAAGUAAAAGUCGUAACAAGGUCUCCGUUGGUGAACCAGCGGAGGGAUCAUUACCGAGUUUACAACUCCCAAACCCCUGUGAACAUACCACUUGUUGCCUCGGCGGAUCAGCCCGCUCCCGGUAAAACGGGACGGCCCGCCAGAGGACCCCUAAACUCUGUUUCUAUAUGUAACUUCUGAGUAAAACCAUAAAUAAAUCAAAACUUUCAACAACGGAUCUCUUGGUUCUGGCAUCGAUGAAGAACGCAGCAAAAUGCGAUAAGUAAUGUGAAUUGCAGAAUUCAGUGAAUCAUCGAAUCUUUGAACGCACAUUGCGCCCGCCAGUAUUCUGGCGGGCAUGCCUGUUCGAGCGUCAUUUCAACCCUCAAGCACAGCUUGGUGUUGGGACUCGCGUUAAUUCGCGUUCCCCAAAUUGAUUGGCGGUCACGUCGAGCUUCCAUAGCGUAGUAGUAAAACCCUCGUUACUGGUAAUCGUCGCGGCCACGCCGUUAAACCCCAACUUCUGAAUGUGACCUCGGAUCAGUAGAUGCCCGGCUG